AAGUCGUAACAAGGUCUCCGUUGGUGAACCAGCGGAGGGAUCAUUACCGAGUUUACAACUCCCAAACCCCUGUGAACAUACCUAUACGUUGCCUCGGCGGAUCAGCCCGCGCCCCGUAAAACGGGACGGCCCGCCCGAGGACCCCUAAACUCUGUUUUUAGUGGAACUUCUGAGUAAAACAAACAAAUAAAUCAAAACUUUCAACAACGGAUCUCUUGGUUCUG
rnacentral:misc_RNA from 1 species